rnacentral:ribozyme from 13 species
AAAAGGAGAAAGAAAAAGAAAGGGAAAAACAAAAACAGAAAGAACAAGCCACUCUUUCUCAUUCCUCUUCCUCUUCCGAAACCCCUCCUCUUUCUC